rnacentral:rRNA from 2 species
UGGGUAAUCUUUUGAAACUUCAUCGUGAUGGGGAUAGAGCAUUGCAAUUAUUGCUCUUUAACGAGGAAUCCCUAGUAAGCGUGAGUCAUCAGCUCACGUUGAUUACGUCCCUGCCCUUUGUACACACCGCCCGUCGCUACUACCGAUUGAAUGGCUUAGUGAGACUCUCGGAUUAAGUCUAAGGAAUCGGAAACGGUUUCUUUUUCUCGAGAAGUUUGUCAAACUUGGUCAUUUAGAGGAAGUAAAAGUCGUAACAAGGUUUCCGUAGGUGAACCUGCGGAAGGAUCAUU